rnacentral:rRNA from 1 species
UACGUAGGGUGCAAGCGUUGUCCGGAAUUAUUGGGCGUAAAGAGCUCGUAGGCGGUUUUGUUGCGUCGGCUGUGAAAUCCCGAGGCUCAACCUCGGGUCUGCAGUCGAUACGAGCAAACUAGAGUGUUGCAGGGGAGACUGGAAUUCCUGGUGUAGCGGUGAAAUGCGCAGAUAUCAGGAGGAACACCGGUGGCCGAAGGCGGGUCUCUGGCCCAUAAACUGA